UUAAUUGAAGCCAAAAAGAGGCAUAUUAAUGUUAAUAAUAAAAUUGAAAAUAAAAAUUUUCCAAUUAAA
rnacentral:tRNA from 2 species